GUGGGUGUAGCGCAAUGGUUAGCGCAUUAGACUGUGGCUCUAAGGGUUGCGGGUUCGAAUCCCGUCACCCACCCCA
rnacentral:tRNA from 1 species